rnacentral:rRNA from 1 species
UGGAGGAAACUCUGAUGCAGCGAUGCCGCGUGAGUGAAGAAGGCCUUUGGGUUGUAAAGCUCUUUCGUCGGGGAAGAAAAUGACUGUACCCGAAUAAGAAGGUCCGGCUAACUUCGUGCCAGCAGCCGCGGUAAUACGAAGGGACCUAGCGUAGUUCGGAAUUACUGGGCUUAAAGAGUUCGUAGGUGGUUAAAAAAGUUGGUGGUGAAAUCCCAGAGCUUAACUCUGGAACUGCCAUCAAAACUUUUUAGCUAGAGUAUGAUAGAGGAAAGCAGAAUUUCUAGUGUAGAGGUGAAAUUCGUAGAUAUUAGAAAGAAUACCAAUUGCGAAGGCAGCUUUCUGGAUCAUUACUGACACUGAGGAACGAAAGCAUGGGUAGCGAAGAGGAUUAGAUACCCUCGUAGUCCAUGCCGUAAACGAUGUGUGUUAGACGUUGGAAAUUUAUUUUCAGUGUCGCAGGGAAACCGAUAAACACACCGCCUGGGGAGUACGACCGCAAGGUUAAAACUCAAAUGAAUUGACGGGGACCCGCACAAGUAGUGGAGCAUGUGGUUUAAUUCGAAGAUACGCGCAGAACCUUACCAACACUUGACAUGUUCGUCGCGACUCUAAGAGAUUAGAGUUUUCGGUUCGGCCGGACGAAACACAGGUGCUGCAUGGCUGUCGUCAGCUCGUGUCGUGAGAUGUUGGGUUAAGUCCCGCAACGAGCGCAACC